rnacentral:ncRNA from 1 species
AACAGGCUAAUUUGCGCAAGAGUGUACAAAAUGAGUGCGCGGUUUGGCACCUCGAUGUCGGCUUAACUUAUCCUCAUGGAUGCAGAAACUGUGUAGGGUGCGACUGUUCGUCGAUUAAAAAGUUACAUGAGCUGGGUUAAAUACGUCGUGAGACAGUAU